CAAUAGCGUAUAUUUAAGUUGUUGCAGUUAAAAAGCUCGUAGUCGGAUUUUGGCUGAGAACGAACGGUCCGCCGUUAGGUGUGCACUGUUUGGUCUCAGCUUCCUGGUGAGGAGGUGUGCUUCACGGCCACUUAGUCACCGUGGUUACUUUGAAAAAAUUAGAGUGUUCAAAGCGGGCUUACGCUUGAAUAUAUUAGCAUGGAAUAACACCAUAGGACUCCUGUCCUAUUUCGUUGGUCUCGGGACGGGAGUAAUGAUUAAGAGGAACAGUUGGGGGCAUUCGUAUUCAACAGCUAGAGGUGAAAUUCUUAGAUUUGUUGAAGACGAACUACAGCGAAAGCAUUUGCCAAGGAUGUUUUCAUUAA
rnacentral:rRNA from 1 species